AUGAACAGUGAUGAACAGAUAAGGCUAGUGGGAAAUGUAGUUCAGAAGGGGGUGACAAUCAGGGGAAGUGAGACCUCUAGUGGCCACCCAGGGAGACACAGAACAGACACUGUGACAUUAGCCCCCCCUCUAAGGAGCAGCUUCCAGAUGCUCCCCAGAUCAAAAAAAAACAAAUCAAAAAGACCAGGAGGGAGGUGGACUGGUGGAGGUAGAACAGGGGGAGGGAUGGCGGGCCAGGCCCGUGUAGGAGAACAGGGACCGGCCGUAAUGGCUCCACCGGCAGCCAAGGUGGAUCAGACAGUUCAGGGGGCCAGGGUUGACCCAAAAGUUCAGGGGACCACGAGGGACCAGACAGUUCAGGUGGCCAGGGUGGACCCGAAAGUUCAGGGGACCACGAGGGACCAGGCAGUUCAGGUGGCCAGGGUGGACCCGAAAGUUCAGGGGACCACGAGGGACCAGGCAGUUCAGGUGGCCAGGGUGGACCCGAAAGUUCAGGGGACCACGAGGGACCAGGCAGUUCAGGUGGCCAGGGUGGACCCGAAAGUUCAGGGGACCACGAGGGACCAGGCAGUUCAGGUGGCCAGGGUGGACCCGAAAGUUCAGGGGACCACGAGGGACCAGGCAGUUCAGGUGGCCAGGGUGGACCCGAAAGUUCAGGGGACCACGAGGGACCAGGCAGUUCAGGUGGCCAGGGUGGACCCGAAAGUUCAGGGGACCACGAGGGACCAGGCAGUUCAGGUGGCCAGGGUGGACCCGAAAGUUCAGGGGACCACGAGGGACCAGGCAGUUCAGGUGGCCAGGGUGGACCCGAAAGUUCAGGGGACCACGAGGGACCAGGCAGUUCAGGUGGCCAGGGUGGACCCGAAAGUUCAGGGGACCACGAGGGACCAGGCAGUUCAGGUGGCCAGGGUGGACCCGAAAGUUCAGGGGACCACGAGGGACCAGGCAGUUCAGGUGGCCAGGGUGGACCCGAAAGUUCAGGGGACCACGAGGGACCAGGCAGUUCAGGUGGCCAGGGUGGACCCGAAAGUUCAGGGGACCACGAGGGACCAGACAGUUCAGGUGGCCAGGGUGGACCCGAAAGUUCAGGGGACCACGAGGGACCAGGCAGUUCAGGUGGCCAGGGUGGAUCAGUCCAUCUCAGUUGUACAGACAGCCAGGGAGGAACUCGCCACUUGA
ensembl:lncRNA